rfam:Trachymyrmex septentrionalis contig19022, whole genome shotgun sequence.
GUCUUAGUGGUCGAGCUGGUUAAGACACUCGCUCCGGAAAGUCGAGAGGUUCCAGGUUCGAAUCCUAGCUGAGAUA